AAGCUACCCUUUGACGAAUGCAAGCAAGCUAGCUUGCUUACUCUCCUAGUAGCGUACGUUGGCGGCAAAAACAAAGACGACUAUACUAAACUAAAGUAAAGAGGCAUUCGGGAAGCGACUAGUCGCUUCUGGCGAAGCUUCUAGAAGGCCGACCACUACAUAGAGAGUACCAGUCAUGAGCUAUCGCUCAUGCCUAGAGAGGCGGAAGCAGUAGCUUCUAGGACGAAGCCGAGCCGAUACGAUAGGCGGGCG
rnacentral:lncRNA from 1 species